GGCGAAAAUGAAGUCCAUGAACAAAAGCUGGCUGUGCUGGGCUGCACACCAAGGUUUGUGGUUUAGCUCCACUAUCUCUGAUUUCCCUCAUGCAUGCAAAGAGGAAUGCCUGUGAUUGCUUGGCAAGAAGGUCUUGUGGCUGAGGUGUCCUUUUCAUGAAGGUCAGCAGGACCAAGGUGAUGGAGGAAGGCUGCAUCUCCCUAUACCACCAUGCAUAGCUGAGUGCAUGAUGGUGUCAGACGGGCCUUGACAGAGGCAAGAAAAUACUUCCUUCUAAAGCACCUAAGGCCAGGAUCAACUUCUGUUCACAGGCAUAGACACAUCAUUUCCUCUGCGUUCAACAGGAGCUGCUCAUACAUCUGAAGGUAGCCCCUAGGCUCUACAAGUUCAAAAACUUCCCAGCCAAGAAGGGAAUGUUUCUCUCCUCUCAGUUUUUAUCAUUCACUGACUGUCCUCCAGACACAUCCUUUGUUAAUCUGAAAGCCUUGAGAGAAGGCUCGGGAGCAAUCCAGGUUUCUGGAAUGUAUUGAUGAUAACUUUCUUCUCCGAGUGAUAGAGGAGCCAACAAGGAGAAGUGCAAUGCUGGACCUUGUUCUCACCAACAAGGAGAGGCUGGAGGUGAAUGUGAAGCUCAAGAGCAGCCUUGGCUGCAGUGACCAUGAAACGGUGGAGUUCAAUAUCACAGCUUUGGUGGAUAAGGGAAAAGCAACUGACAUCAUUUACCUGGACUUGUGAAAAGCGUUUGGCACUGUCCCACAUGACAUUCUUGUCUCUAAACUGGAGAGACAUGGUUUUGAUGAAUGGACCAGUAGCUGGAUAAGGAAUUGACUGGAUGGUUGCCCUCAAAAAGUUGCCAUCAAUGGCUUGAUAUUCAAGUGGAGAGCAGUGAUGAGUGGUGUUCCUCAGGGGUCAGUACUGGGACCAGUGCUGUUUAACAUCUUUGUUGGUGACUUGGACAGCAGGAUGUCCUCAGUCUUCUGCACAUCUCAGAUCCUAUUCUGAGGUGUGGAAUUCUUCCUAUAUGCAUUCAAGGCUCCCAGUUUGGACAUCAUAUAGCCCAUAGGUGCUGGAGGUGACUGGAGGUGACUAAGGCAUGGGUGUUGCUUUGCUAAGUCUCUCAAAACAAGAUGAUCAUUGUCAUUAAUAUACCACUGUGGCUGGUAUGAGUCUGUACAAGUCUGCACUACUGAGGGAUUGAAGACAUAGACUAAAUUUUUAAUCUUACUACAAUAAUGUGUGUUUCAACAUGCUUUAGUACUUCCAAAAGUUUGCCACCAUUUCCUAGCUGGGCAAUCUUUUUUCUUAUUCUCUUGCUAUCCAUAGGACAGUAAAAUAAGUAGUCCAUUGGAAGUAUACAAAGGAAAUUUUAGAUUUAAAAUAUAGAAUAAAUAUUUUUUAUUUCAGGGAACAUCUGAAUUUUGUCUUAGGAGAUGUAAGUUUUUGCAAAUUUCUUGUUCAUAUUCCUAAGGUAUAAAGUCUGAGUAAUACAUGAAAAGUGUUCAGUAGCUAGAAACUGCAAGCAGAGAGUCAUAGAUAAGAAUAUGAAUAAGAAACCUACUAGAGUAUUUCAAUUUUGUUUAAACUCUGGCAUUAAGCUACUUCUAGUGGAAGAUGCUGUGAACUGAAGUUUUCCAUUUUCCUGAAGAAACAGACACAACACAGUCAGUGACAAAAUAAACCUCCCACAGAUUUUUCUUUCAGGCUGUCUUCACUAGGGGCAGAAAAACUAAAUAGACAUGGAGCUGAGAAUCUUGGUGGCCUCUCAAGGCCCCCUCCUACCUUUUCUACAGUAAUGUCAAUUGUGAUUCUGGAUUCAAAGAGCCUAUUAACACCUACGAAUGGCCCAUCUACUGCAGAAUUGAGACCCCAAGUCAUGCCUAAGUGUGUUCAAUAAACAUGCAUCAAUUCAGGCACUUUUUUUUUACAGUGAAAAUUUUGUCAAGAAUGAUUACAGAUCUGCCUCAGACAUAAAAGUCUGUAGAGUAAGCACUGGAAAGACUCUAUUCCAAAUGUUUUCGUAUUUGUUUUAAAGCAAUCAGCAUUCUUUUAUGGUGUCCAAUAGCAGCCAGCAUUAAAGUCUUUACUAAAAGUUACAAUAUUUACAAAAGUAAAUAAGUACACAAUCCAUUGCCUUUGAGAGAAGCUUCUUUCUAACCCAGGUAAGCAGAAAGUUGCUUAGGGCCUACUACUGGAAUAAGGAUUUUCUUUAGAUAGCUAUCCCAUGAGUAAUAUGACAGUGGAUAAUUUUAUUAUUCUUAGAUAUGACUAAUUUCUUUCUUUAUCCUUCUUUCCUCAAUUCUGCUGAGGUCAGCAAAUAUACAAAUUUUGCCUUUUAUCAGUCUGUUAUUACCAUUUGUAUCUUUUUUUUCAGUAUAUCCUUGUUCUUCUAUUAAAAGAUAGAGCAAAAAAAAG